UACGAAGGGGGCUAGCGUUGUUCGGAUUUACUGGGCGUAAAGCGCACGUAGGCGGAUUGUUAAGUCAGGGGUGAAAUCCUGGAGCUCAACUCCAGAACUGCCUUUGAUACUGGCAAUCUUGAGUCCGGAAGAGGUGAGUGGAACUCCUAGUGUAGAGGUGGAAUUCGUAGAUAUUAGGAAGAACACCAGUGGCGAAGGCGGCUCACUGGUCCGGUACUGACGCUGAGGUGCGGAAAGCGU
rnacentral:rRNA from 1 species